GUGGGGAAUAUUGGACAAUGGGCGCAAGCCUGAUCCAGCCAUGCCGCGUGUGUGAAGAAGGCCUUUUGGUUGUAAAGCACUUUAAGCGAGGAGGAGGCUACUUGGAUUAAUACUCUAGGAUAGUGGACGUUACUCGCAGAAUAAGCACCGGCUAACUCUGUGCCAGCAGCCGCGGUAAUACAGAGGGUGCGAGCGUUAAUCGGAUUUACUGGGCGUAAAGCGUGCGUAGGCUGCUUUUUAAGUCGGAUGUGAAAUCCCUGAGCUUAACUUAGGAAUUGCAUUCGAUACUGGGAAGCUAGAGUAUGGGAGAGGAUGGUAGAAUUCCAGGUGUAGCGGUGAAAUGCGUAGAGAUCUGGAGGAAUACCGAUGGCGAAGGCAGCCAUCUGGCCUAAUACUGACGCUGAGGUACGAAAGCAUGGGGAGCAAACAGGAUUAGAAACCCCUGUAGUCC
rnacentral:rRNA from 1 species